rnacentral:rRNA from 1 species
GACGAGGGUCCUAGCGUUGUUCGGAAUUACUGGGCGUAAAGCGCAUGUAGGCGGCUCGAUAAGUCAGAUGUGAAAUUCCUGGGCUCAACCCAGGGCGUGCAUUUGAUACUGUCGAGCUUGAGUAUGGGAGAGGGUAGUAGAAUUCCUGGUGUAGUGGUGAAAUACGUAGAUAUCAGGAGGAAUACCGGUGGCGAAGGCGGCUGCCUGGCCCAAUACUGACGUUGAGGCACGAAAGCGUUGGGGAGCAAACAGG